CUGACCUUAGUGGGAAUGAGGUAUAUAGCAGUCCUCAGUUUUAGUUAGAAUGAAAAAUAGGCAUUUGUGUCACCUUGGCCAAGCCAUUUACCAUCUCUAGACACCCAUUUUUGACUGUCAUAUGGGGAGAUGGAUCUACAAAUUUGGGUCUGAAGUGGAAUACCUUUUCCUGUUAUAUAGCAUGUACGCAAAAAAGCAAAAAAAAAAAAAGAAAAAAGACAAAUUUUAUCACCUAGGUGAGUUUAUAUGUUGACCAGCUUCUUGGCCUCUAAAUUAUACCC
rnacentral:lncRNA from 1 species